rnacentral:lncRNA from 1 species
CAGGAGCUGAUGAUCAGUUAUGCCGAGAAAAAGCUAUGUCUGUGGUGACAAGUGGGAGUAUUUCAGAAGCUUCAUGGGCUCAUAUGGAAGUUAAUCUUAGAUCCCAAGUCCUUGUUCUGCAGGGUCCUCAUCAACACUGAGCAGCUGAGCAAGUAUGGAGACAGGUACUCCUUUCCUGAGAUGAUCAUGUUUGUCCCUGGUGUAGUAGGUAAAUAACUGACCCUAGAAUUCAAAUUCUUACACCUGGGUUCAAAUUCCAAUCACAUCACCCAAAUUUUGUGAACAAGGACAGAUGACUCCAUGUCAUUGAAUCUCAAGUUUCUCAUUUGUAAAAUGGAUUAAUAAAAGUGAUAUCAUUGAGUUGCUGUAAGGCAAAUGUAAGUUAGAGCCUUUAACUUGCUGUAAGUUAGAGUCUUUAUACAAUAGGAGAUAUUUAGAAAAUGCUAAGUAUGCAUGAUUUUCUUUUCCCGGGUUUGAAUUCUUAGUAUUUGGCUAUACAAGCUAGAUAGAUCCUUAUUCAUGUAUUCAGUUCAGCCUUGUACCGAACUGAGGUUCAUCUUAAGUUUAAAAAGCUUUUGAGAUUAAUUUAGUAACCUGACCAAUAUCUGUGUACUUAUUUCCAAGUUCUCACUUAGUUGAGGGACAAGAUCUCAGCUUAAUCAUCUCUGUCAUCAAAAGAUGUGGCUGGGCACAAAGUAGAAAUUUGAAGCCUAAAUACUGAAUAGAUGAACGAACAAAUGGUUUCUAAAAGUGUACUUGUAUGUGGGAACUGCUAGUAGAUAUUAUUAGACUUUCCUCUCCACCUGACUGAAAUUCAAUUUUGAGGGUUCAUACUCUUUGAUCAAAACCCUC